GGAUGGAAACUNCCAAUCUAGAGUAUCGGAGAGGAAAGUGGAAUUCNUAGUGUAGCGGUGAAAUGCGUAGAUAUUAGGAAGANCACCAGUGGCGAAGGCGACUUUCUGGACGAAAACUGACGCUGAGGCGCGAAAGCCAGGGGAGCGAACGGGAUUAGAUACCCCGGUAGUCCUGGCCGUAAACGAUGGGUACUAGGUGUAGGAGGUAUCGACCCCUUCUGUGCUGGAGUUAACGCAAUAAGUACCCCGCCUGGGGAGUACGACCGCAAGGUUGAAACUCAAAGGAAUUGACGGGGGCCCGCACAAGCGGUGGAGUAUGUGGUUUAAUUCGACGCAACGCGAAGAACCUUACCAGGUCUUGACAUUGAUGGACAGAACUAGAGAUAGUUCCUCUUCUUCGGAAGCCAGAAAACAGGUGGUGCACGGUUGUCGUCAGCUCGUGUCGUGAGAUGUUGGGUUAAGUCCCGCAACGAGUGCAACCCCUAUCUUAUGUUGCCAGCACGUAAAGGUGGGAACUCAUGAGAGACUGCCGCUGACAAUGCGGAGGAAGGCGGGGAUGACGUCAAAUCAUCAUGCCCCUUAUGACCUGGGCUACACACGUACUACAAUGGGAGUUAAUAGACGGAAGCGAGAUCGCGAGAUGGAGCAAACCCGAGAAACACUCUCUCAGUUCGGAUCGUAGGCUGCAACUCGCCUACGUGAAGUCGGAAUCGCUAGUAAUCGCAGGUCAGCAUACUGCGGUGAAUACGUUCCCGGGCCUUGUACACACCGCCCGUCACACCACGAAAGUCGGAAGUGCCCAAAGCCGGUGGGGUAACCUUCGGGAGCCAGC
rnacentral:rRNA from 1 species